rnacentral:lncRNA from 1 species
UUGCAGCGAAGUAUUCUACGAUGCCAACCCAGUGAAGAGCGAAGACCCGGGACUCAUUCUUGAAGACGGCGGCUAUCACAUGGUGUCCGUCAAGUUCAGCAUGUCGUCUACUAGCGUCAACGUCCUGAUGUUCAUUGAAAAGCUUCA